GUAGAAAUAAAGCUACGAAACCAACGUGAUUUAUGCAAAAAAGAAGCAAACGUAUGAUCGGAAAACAACGAUUUCAAACCUCGACAAAAGCUAUACCCAAGUAGCAAGUCAUAGUGACAUCUGAAUAAUCAACAAGAUAUAUUCCUCAAGAAAAA